rnacentral:tRNA from 1 species
GGAGAGAUGUCCGAGCGGCUUAAGGAGCACGCUUGGAAAGCGUGUGUAUGGAAACGUACCGGGGGUUCGAAUCCCCCUUUCUCCGCCA